UUUCAACUCUAACUCGAACAAACCUACUCCUAUUGGGAUUCUGAAUUUUCCUUCUUUUCAAGGCUUUAUUCUUAGCUGGUCGGGAAUCCUGGUCGCACCAGGACUUCCUCGACCUUUUCUGUUUAUCCGGACUACUUUAGAUAGGAUUUGGCCGACCCUGCCAACUGGCCCGGGAUUUAUUAUUCGACCCAUAGUAUUUGUCAUCACCUUGGGCGGAGCACAUCCUUCUGAGGUCGCCGACUGUUAACUUUUGGUCGGGCCUCGGCCUUGAAGAAGCGGAAACGCCUAUUGCUUUUUGGACUUUGCUUCCUUAAUGACCAUUACUCCUGCACAUUUAUGAGACAUGAUUGCACUCUCCUCGUUGCCCCCAACGUACAGCCACGUGUCGAUUCUCCGCCGCUCUUAAAAGCUUUCAAUCAUGGCCCUCGAGAUCGUGCACUUACUGAAGCGUCUUAUCCUAAUUAAUGCAUUAAAACUGUCACCGCACGCAAUCGUGCGUCCUGGAUUUUCGACCCCUCGAUCCUAUCUUCGCAGGUUCCCAAAAUAUCCGAAAUGAUUGGAACCUUUCCCGGUUAAAUUUCCCCCUAAUUUGAACCAGUGUUUUUCGAAUUCCAAACGUUUGAUCUUCAUUCUGAAAAGCCUAUAAAUACCCACACUUCUGUCAUUCGCAUCUCACGCGUUCAGAAAUUCUAAAAUCUCAAUUUUAUCAUUCCUGUUCGUUCAGACAAAGCCUUCCAAUUCUUUUUCCUGCAACCUCUUUUUUUAACUCCAAAUCCCUUCUUUCAUCAAUGGCCUCCUUUAUCUCAAAGCUUUCUGACGAGUGCAGCAAAUGUAAGGAUUUCAUUGAUCGGAGCGCCGUCAAGACGCUGCGAUUUGAAAAUGACAUGGCCACUACCCACCAGAUUUUGGGUCCCCUUUUCAGAGACGCAGUGCCGUCGUCUAUCUCUACUCUUCUCAAGGAGCAGUGUUUAAUACCCCUGCUGCAGGGGUUCGACUGGUCGAAGUGGACUCUGGCGCGGCCUCAAGGAGCUUGGCCCUCGACCACCACGGCCUGGGCCGCCUGGGUUGACCGAAUGAGCACAUUCUUUGGCAAGGAAUGGAAGGCUCUUGGUAUCUACGAUGCCAUUAUUCUGUCGACCAUGGAGAUUGCCAUGGAUAAGGAGCUGCUCAUGGCGGCCCUGAGUUUAUGGUGUUCGGCCACCAACACCAUGAUCCUGCCUUUCGGCCCCACAGUCCUCGACAUUUCGGCCAUCCUUGGGACUUCUCCAACCGGCCUUCCCAUUGAUGCCGCCCUUUUCGGAUACCCAUCUCCUCUCGACCUAAAGGCAUUAUUUGACGAAAGGGCCAUCGAGACGCUAAGCCGUGGUGAUCGGGAGCCCUCAAGGGAAGAAGUUCAGAAGCUCCUUGGGACUUCUCUUCGCCGGCCGAGGCGAGAAAGGCCUUAGGAAGGGAGAACACGAGGUCUUCCUCUUCUACUGGUACAACAAAUUCAUCUGUUGUACCAGGUCAAACAAAUGCCUGGUCGAGAACAUGCCGGUGGCCCAGGCACUGGCUAGUGGUCGCUCCUUGGCGUUCAGCCCUGCUAUACUCGCUAACCUCUACCGUUGCUUGGCCGAGGCGACUAUUAGCAAGAUUGACCCGCACCAGAAUAGACCCCUCUGGGUGUUCCAACUCUGGUUGCAGGUUUACUUUUCCACCAUUCAAUCGGAGGUUCCUGCCUUUCAACGAUCGGCCGCCCUUGGCUUUCAACUGGCCUCUCGACCGGCACCACCUCACCGAGCCGACGAGGUCUUUAAACACUUCCUCGGCCUCGACGUCCUUUCGGAUGACAAGUUCGUGGUAUGCCGGCGCCAGGAGUACCCUGCCUCGAUCAGGCUUCCUACGCCCGCGUGGGCCGAGUCCGAGGAUGCGGACAUCCGUCAAUGCUGGGGGUCUUUCGUUUUGGCUCGCGAUCUUCCUCUUGGUUGCGACGCCUGCCGAGCCAGCUGGGAGGUCUAUCACCCCCAUUUUGUCGCCCAGCAGCUCGGCUACCUUCAAGGCUGCCCCGUCCCCCUGCUUGCCUUUCGGUCUCUCCUGAGUCGAGGGCGUCUUUCCGGUUCCUCUGAAAGGGAAUGCAAGACGUCGGAGCAGGAGUUUCAGGAGAAGUGCAAGAAAUUCCGGCUCCGGCCGACGGUUCCUGAAUCUUUGGGAACCGACACCUUCGGGGACUGGUGGGAGGAGUACACCAGUGACUUCUUCGGCGUCCGGGCCGAAGACAUGGUGAACAAAAUCUUCGGCGACCGUCCCAGACCAGCGCCCUAGGCCCAACCUAAGGAGUCGGCCCAAGGUAUAGUUUUUCCGCUUUUUUUUUUUUUUUUUUUUUUUAAUAUCACUUGUCCUUGUUAUUAAUUACUUUGCUAUUUCAGGGGGUCGCAUGUCGAGGAAGGUUGAAGUGGUCGCCGCAGUGGCGAGGGCGAAGAAGUUGGUCUCCAUGAAGAGGACCAUCGCCACCGAGCGGACAGCCCCCGCCAAACGCCCUUAUCGAAAGGCCGAGCCGGAGGAUGAUGCUCCUCGCCUUUCUAAACGCGUCAAGAAAUUGGCGAAGAAGGGCGACCGGGAGAUUCAUGUCGUCCCAAGUGACACUACAGGGACGCCUGCUCCUGCCGGCUCUCCUUCUGUACCGGCUGCCCCGGCUUCUCCAAACCCGAUUCCUCCAGCCGUCUCCCUUCCUGAGACCACGUCCGAUCCAAUCAUCGCAUCAGCUCCAGCUUCGAAGCCGGUCGUGGCGCCUGCCGUGGGGAAGUCAGCUGCACCUGUCGAGGCACCCUCUACUCCAACGGUCAUUCUGCAAGAGGUAUAAUUCUACUUCCACUCUUGUUUCUUUAGGUUUCUAGUCGUAACGCAAAAUGUUUUUCUUUUUGUUCAGGAUGUCGAGAGCGAGAGCGACGAAGUCCCGCUGGAACGCCGUCGUCGACCAGUCAACUCUCCUCUCGUCCAUCCUCUUCCGGUCGUCGAGGCGACCGCUCGACCGUGUCCUUCUGCGGCGGAUCGCGGCAAGAGACCUAUGGCCGAUCCUGAGGCCACGGUCGAAACGCCGAUCCACCCGCAGGAUGAAGACCUUCCCAUUCCUCCACAGGAAGUCUCCUCGGCCUUUCCAUCGUGGGAAGUGGAGCUCGACGCUCUUCUUCAGAGCACGACCGGUGAGGCCGGCUCCUCUGCUGCUCUUGCCGAACCAGCGGGAGCCAUGCCCGAGGCCGAAGCCUUCGUGAAGUUGCACGAAGUCCUGUCUCUCACUGCCUCCCAAGCUCUCCGAUCCAAGGGUCUUGACUCCGUUAGGGAGUGUCUUAAUGACCUUGCCAGCGGCGGUUACCUAAGCACGGAGAAUAUCUCCUUCCUCACCGACCUCUUGGAGCGGACUCGGCAACACUUCCACAUCUUCGAGCGAGCCCUACAAGCCGUGGAUGACCUGAAGGCUGCCAAGGUCGCGCAAGAGGCCGGCCGAGCUAAGAUGGAGGCAAUCAAAGCCAGGAAAGCGAAGCUGACCGAGUUUGAUCGCCAGAUCUUUGACCUCCAGCGUCAAAUUUUUGACCUUCAACGGCAAAGGUCUACUGCUGCUUCCGAGCUUGAGAAAGACUUCGAGGCCAACAGGGCUCGGCUGACGGCCUUCACGGCCGGCGCACGGCAUAUCCAGCAGCUUCAGUGCAAUAAAAAGACGAGGCAGGCUGAGAUAAUUUUGGGCGAAGCGAAGUGGUUGGAGCUAAAAGCUGCCCUUGAGACUUUCCUCCCCUCGACCCCCUAGGAAUUUAUCAUUGUAUUUGUUCUCUUAUUAUCAAUACAAUGGUUCUUUUGCUAUCAAUAAAAUGGUCUUUUGC